GCCCCGGAAAGGAAUGUAUUUACCCACUUGCUGACUCUGAGGUCCAGGAGAAUAAGAGGAAAAUAACAUUCACUUAAGAGGGCUGCCAAAGAUUCAGUGUACUUAGGGGGAGGCAAAGUUUCAGAUAAGGCAAGGAAUUGAAGGCAGCAUACUGAGAUAAGUCUGAGGAUGUGGAAGAAUUUGCUGCUCACAGGUUGCGGAGGGCACGGAGGAAGGAUGUGGCUGAGGGCAGGGAGCUGGAAGCAUCUCGCCAGUGGGAGCACAAGGAUGGAGGUGAUAACAAAUGAGAAGGAACUCAGACCUGUGGUGAUGGCUGAGAGAGAGAGUGCACAAGCAAGAGAGCGCAACCUGGGGGAGUAGCAGGCAGAUGGAGAAACAGGAGGAAGGAGUCUGAUGUGGGACUCUAUCCCAGGACUCUGGGAUCUUGACCUAAGUUGAAGGCAGACGCUUAACCGAGUGAGCCAUCCAGGUGCCCUGGGGUCCAAAUUCUAACUCUACCACUCACCAGCUUUGAAUUGGAA
rnacentral:lncRNA from 1 species